CAGAGAUUGUGCCCAUGCGUUGAAAACGCAUAUUUGAAUGGCACAAUCGACUUGCCGCCGAGUGUAAACGAGGGGGCGUUACCCAUA
rfam:Coprococcus sp. CAG:782 genomic scaffold, scf285